rnacentral:lncRNA from 10 species
CUGGAAUCAUAGUUGAAGAAACAGUUGGCUAGACUCUAACAGCUGUUCACAAUUUCUCGUAUCUCUCCUGAUGGAGGACAGUGUUUUUAAAGUGGCUACUCCAAAAAUAAUCACACAAGGCAGGAUUUCAUCUAUCCCUAAUAUUCUCAGAAGGUUCAUCAGUGGCAUGAUGACAGAAAAAGUGCUACAAAAGCCAUGUGAAGAAGUACAUGUUUGCUUCCCCUUCUGUCAUGAUUGUAAGUUUCCUGAGGCCUCCAGAGCCAUGCUGAACUGUAAGUCAAUUAAACCUCUUUUUUUAAAUAAAUUACCCAGUCCCAUGUAUGUUUUUAUUAGCAGUGUGAGAAUGGACUAAUACAGGAAGGGAGAGUACAAGUAAAACUCCAUAGUAUUUAGAGUUUAAUGCCACCAAAAUUAGUCUACCUAUGCCAUUAUAAGUAGACUGAUGCCUUUGUUUAGUUUCAAGAACAUUUUUAAGAUGAUCAGUAAUGGAUUCAGCAUUCUAUGUGUAUGGUAGAAACAGAAAAAGUAGAUGGUUUCACCCUAUUUGUAGACUACUGCAAAAACUUUUUAAUUUAGUCUUAUUUUCUCCUCUAAAAACUUGGCAUUAGCUUCUCCAAUAGAUUGACUAUGGUUUCAACUGCCAAAACAAACAAUAAACCUCUACCCAAAUUAAGACCAUAUUAUACAUUCCAUUUCAUAUUCUUAAUAAGUUAUUUGUAA